GUAUGGUCAGGCGGGAUCAUCUGCCAGCUGGAGGUCUCAGGACUGUGGAAAACCAUGUAUUCUAGCAGUAUAUUCUCUGGCCCAGCCGACCAUUACUAUCUUCAUAACGCUUAUGAAACUGUGCCUUCUCUAAGGCCAUUCACAGCUCUCGACUGGGCUAUCCUUCUUUGCCCUCUGUGCAUAAUUUCAUGCUUAUUUGAUCUCCCCAACCUCUGCACUGACCUGGCUUCUUGUGUUAUAUCCUAAACAACUUGUUCUUGGUUUCAUCCACUCAGUUCUCUGGAUCAGCCAGCUUCACACAGAAGUGACAGCACUUCUGAAAUCCCCUCUUAGUCACUUUUGUAACUUCAACCUCUGCUAAAGGUAGACACUCACUCUAUAGACCAGGCCUUGAGCUCAAAGAUCCACCUGCCUCUGCCCCCUGGCCCCCUCCACCUCCCCACGAGUGCUGGGACUAAAGGUGUGAACCACCACCACCACCACCACCACCACCCAGCUCCCUUGUUUUCUUAACAUUGAUCUAUUUAUAACUAGAGUGAGCAAAGCAGUGGUGGUGCACAACUUUAAUCCCACCACUCAGGAGGCAGAGGCAGGUGGAGCUCUGUGAUUUCGAGGCCAGCCUGGUCUACAAUAUGAGUUCCAGGACAGCCAGGGAUACACAGAGAAACCCUGCCUCAAAAAGAAAAUCAAAUAAACCCCCACAGAGUUACACCUUAUCCACUGCCCAAUGUCCUGCCAUUGGUUCCCAGACCAGAGCCUAGAGCCUGAAAUGGUCAUAUGCUCAGGCCCCAUUGCAAAGGACAGUGGGAAGGCACCUGCUUGUCUAACCUCUGGGGUGGCAAAGCUCGGGAGGGACUCCUCCUUAGGCAGCAGAGAUGCUCACUGGUGUGGGCUGUGCACACUCUGGUUUUCUUUCCUCUAAACUUGUGGGCCCCCAGGUUCAAGCUUUUAAUUUUCAGGUUUGCAUAUCUAUAAGUGCCUCCGUGUAUCUAUGUGGACCACAUGUAUGCCUGGUGCCUGUGGAAAUGAGAAGAAAGCAUUGAAUCCCCUCAAAAAGUGUUCUUAACCCCUUAGCCAUCUCUCCAGCCCCAGGUUCAAAUCCUGAGCACCGUCUGAACUAGUCCUGUGUCCAAGACAGUAUCAUCAAACCCUGCCCUUCCCGCCUUGUGCCAGCUCGCGCUUUUUCUUACAUCUGUAUGUUGAUGCUUAGCAGGUUCCUUGAAUGCUUGGUUUAUGUGCCUGGCUGGAGGAGACACCCAUGGCCUUGCAGAGGGAGCGUUCUGGUGGGAAAGCAGACACAACCCACCCUAGGCCCGUGGUUUCCCUGCAAGAAGCCCAGUGGCUUUCUGGAGGACACUUUUCCUGGAGGAAGUGACUCAAGGUAUUCAGGGGGUUGGGUAGGGGAAAUAUCAAGGAAGUAAGAAAGAACAUGGUAUAUGUGGGGACUUGCCUGACCCUCCAAAGAAGUGGAGCCUUAGAUGCUGAAGCAGAGAAACUGGCUUAAUGGCCUGGGGUUUAAGGAAGUCAGCCAUGAGUUAGCUCAGAGAUGCUAGGACGUGGCACCCGGCUGGGUGGUGCUUCGUAAUGUGUAGGAGGCUCACGUGUAUGCAACCUACUGGCUUCUCACAUUAGAAGCAAAAAGGUUUGAAGAAGUUAAGUACUGCAAGGCCAAUUGGUACUAGAAUGGAGACAGAGAGGAAGUUCUACUUAGAAACUUUCUAGAAGAAGAAAGGGGAUAAUGAGAGCAAGGAGAGAGAUCCAGGGCUUAGUCUGAGGGGAUUCUGUGAGAGCAACUGAGGUAGGGAGAAGAGCCGUGUGCGUGCUGGUCCCGAGGCUGCAAUGUAAGCAACAUGCCAAGCUUUACACAAAGGCUUCUCUGUAAGAGGCCUUGGCAGUGGCUGUCAGGUGAGGGGACUUAGCUCUCAGGGCCUUCAGGGCAUUGGGGGUAGGGCUGGAGGUGGCCUCAGACUUCCAGCAGGUCCACAUCAAAAGAAAGACUCUAAGCCUGGCUAGAACUCCCACAGAGGCUAUAUAGAGCUGGUUCCAGGCCAGGCUCCUGCCCACUGCCCAGUCAGGCCGCCAGGUCUAGGCUCAGCCUCUGCCCACCUCCUAUUCUUCCAGCUGUGCCCCCUGCACCUUCUAGCAUCUCCUUUUUCAGCCCACACAUGCCCUCCCAGGUUAUGGGUCUGGUCUCACUGGGCCCGAGCAAGUACCACAGGGAACCUCUUACACUGAGGACUGUAUUGGGAAGGAGAGAAACCACUGACCAGAAGCAAAAAGGUGUCUCGGGAGGAAGGGGGUCACUGUUUCAAGCACUCUGCUCUCCAUCUUCUUCAGCACAAGUUCUUGGUGGCCUCAAUUCACGGUCUCUUCCUGUUGAUCAGCAGUGGGCAGAGACCACCUCCCUCAUUGCCGCUUUGGGUUUGGACCGCUUUAAACAGUAAAGUGACUGUCGACGGCUCAGUCUACAGGGAGGAGAACAAAAGACAGGGUCAGGGCUGGGCAGACUGGACAGGAGCAGCAUAAGCCAGGCUCUAUGGAAUGUUGGGUGAGCUGCUUGAGGAACUCCAAGGCCUGUCCCACAGUCUUCCAGCCUCCGACUCUCCGGCCCUCAGCGAGGAAGUCCCACUGGUUUUUUUGGUUGGUUUUUUUUUUUUUUUUUAAGGUUUUUUGGUUUUUUUUUUUUUUUCUCAUUCCUGUCUUGGGAGCUUUCCCCAACCAGGAGAGUGAAGAUGGGCGGAGCUGUCACACCAACUGUUAGCCUGCCUUGGCUGAGAGGAGAGGAGGCGAGGAGGGAGCGACCACCCAGCUUUAGUCGUUUUAAAACAGCUCCUGACCCUAGAAGAAGGGAAAUGGAGAUGAAGACCCAAUUGACUUGGUAUGAAGUUUAAAUGCCCCUUCAAGACUUGGGGGUCGAGGACGGUGAGAUUGGCUCAGUGGAUAGAUUCACUUGCCUCUAAGCCUGACAACCUAAGUUAAUAUCCUCUACCCACAUAUGGAAGGAAAAAAAUGAUUUCCAAAAGUUGUCCUCUGACCUCCACACAGAGACCAUGGCCUGUGCACCACCCCCCGAAAAUGUAAUAUAUUUUUUAAAAAGACAUGGGGACUUCCAUUCAGUGUCUCCCAAUGUUUGGGGAUUUCCUUUCCUUAUUUCCUUACUCCCUGUCGGUGCCCUAGAGGAGACAGAGAGAGUCUAACUACGGAGAGGUCAUUCUCUAGGUUGGUUGGUGGAAUAUUCAGGACUCCUGGGAAGGCUCCAACUGGUCCCUGAGAGUCCCAGUUUCCUCUAUCACACAGCAGAAGGUGGGGAAUGGCUGCCGUGGUUGGAAGAGCGCGUUGGUGCUGAGGGGGCCAGCUGGUUGAGAAGCAGGUGGAGAGGGAAAGGACCCUGCUUAAGAGGGGGCUGGGUGGGAAGGCUGGGUAAUUUAUGAUAUCAUUGUUCCCGCCCCUCUUCCCAGCCCCCUGCCACUUUACUGUUGCUAGGAGAUCCUGGCUGGCCCUGUCAAAUGGAAAACUCCUCCUCAGCCAGAGUAGGCCCUACCCUGAGUCACAACAGACCCUAAACACACCAGUGUCUCCUAUGAAUCCAUUCAGGUUCAGCCAGCUUGGGCGUGGGACUACCUGACCGAGCAAGUGCUUGUGUGUGUGUGUGUGUGUGUGUGUGUGUGUGUGUGUGUGUGUGUGUGUGUGUGUGAUAUGGAGGGAGCCAGGAGAUAGACUUUGAGGAUGGAGGAGCACUCUGAGGGCCUGCAGGUGACCCUGGGAACCAAGCCUGGGAAGAACCUAAGUUAAUAAUGCAAUCUUUAUCUUAGAGAGAGUGAUCUUUCAGCAGACUGAUCGAACACACAGGCUUCUCAGCCCACUCCCUCCAGUCAAGGUUAAGGCCUGGCAAAGGUGGAGGAAGAGAAGCUGAGGAGAAAAAGGCGAGGAGAGCCUAGGCACAGGAAGGUGACCGCUUCCCUCCCUCCCAGUGCUGAUUUCCUGUGGACCAGAUUCCAGCACAGUGGAGGGCCAGAGCUCAGGGAACAGACCCAGCAGCACAGCAAGUCUCCAAGGAAAGCUCUAGCAGUCUCCAGGGGCUGAAGGCAGGACUGGGGAAGCGGCUAGCCAGGCUGCAGAAGGCAAAUGCUCCCAGACGGCUGUCCAGCACGCAUCCGCCUUCCUAGCCAAGUUUCCUGGGCUCCUGCCACAGAUCUAAGCCUCAUCCUGACAUCCUGCCCUCUGUGCUCUGGGAUGGCCCAGGGGAGAUGCUUAGCCUUGGCUCCUUGUCUGCUGGUGGAGGGGACACACACCCUUUCUGGACCACAGACCAAAAAGAAGACCUGACGUCAUCCUGAGCACCCCCGCCAUGCAGAGUGUGUUCGCAGACUGCCAACGGGCUGGCUCCGGCCAGCAGAAGUGAACAGAGGUGGAGGUUCAGCCUGACAGCUUCUCCCCAAAGCCAUGGAGAGAAAACCUUACCACCCCCACCGCCCAGCUACUUCCAGCAAGUUGUCCAGCCUGACCCCUCUAUUUCCCCUGUUGUCUCUUAUCUGGGUCCCUGAGACCCACCCCAUCUCCAAUAAAGAACAUUGCAUACUGUGCAUCCACUACUGAACAACAUAGUCACACCAGGCAGGGCUCCCUAAAGCCUACCUGCAUGGCCAGCGUGGUCCGAGGACAGUGUGCUCUCCCCACCCUGUCUGCUAGCCUCCAGCUUCAUGGGAACUCCAUUAAUCAUGGGAUUCCGAGAUCAUCAGAGCAAUAGGAUCACUCCGUCUCCAGGGGAGCACAAGGCAAGAGCCAGAGCGGGACUGUUCUUCAGUCAAGGGGCAGGGGUUGCUGCCUCU
rnacentral:lncRNA from 1 species